UAGAGUAAUGCGUGACCAACCUGCCCCAUGCUCCAGAAUAGCUCUUGGAAACGGGUGGUAAUGCUGGAUGCUCCAACUUGACGCAUGUCUUGUUGGGAAAGUGUUUAGUGGCAUGGGAUGGGGUCGCGUCCUAUCAGCUUGUAGGCGGGGUAAUGGCCCACCUAGGCUUCGACGGGUAGCCGGCCUGAGAGGGCGGACGGCCACAUUGGGACUGAGAUACGGCCCAGACUCCUAGGGAGGCAGCAGCG
rnacentral:rRNA from 1 species